CACAUGCAAGUCGAGGGGCAGCAUGGUCUUAGCUUGCUAAGAUUGAUGGCGACCGGCGCACGGGUGAGUAACGCGUAUCCAACCUUCCCUAUAGUAGGGGAUAGCCCGUAGAAAUGCGGAUUAAUACCCUAUGUUGUAUUUCGAUGACAUCUGACGAAUACCAAAGGUUCACCGCUAUAGGAUGGGGAUGCGUCUGAUUAGGUAGUCGGCGGGGUAACGGCCCACCGAGCCAACGAUCAGUAGGGGUUCUGAGAGGAAGGUCCCCCACAUUGGAACUGAGACACGGUCCAAACUCCUACGGGAGGCAGCAGUGAGGAAUAUUGGUCAAUGGGCGAGAGCCUGAACCAGCCAAGUAGCGUGCAGGAUGACGGCCCUAUGGGUUGUAAACUGCUUUUAUGCGGGGAUAAAGUGGGGGACGUGUCCCUUAUUGUAGGUACCGCAUGAAUAAGGACCGGCUAAUUCCGUGCCAGCAGCCGCGGUAAUACGGAAGGUCCGGGCGUUAUCCGGAUUUAUUGGGUUUAAAGGGAGCGCAGGCCGAUGGUUAAGCGUGACGUGAAAUGUAGCCGCUCAACGGCUGAACUGCGUCGCGAACUGGCUGUCUUGAGUGAGUUCGAUGUGGGCGGAAUUCGUGGUGUAGCGGUGAAAUGCUUAGAUAUCACGAAGAACUCCGAUUGCGAAGGCAGCCCACAAGGCCUUUACUGACGCUAAAGCUCGAAGGUGCGGGUAUCGAACAGGAUUAGAUACCCUGGUAGUCCGCACGGUAAACGAUGGAUGCCCGCUGUUUGCGAUAUACUGUGAGCGGCCAAGAGAAAUCGUUAAGCAUCCCACCUGGGGAGUACGCCGGCAACGGUGAACUCAAAGGAAUUGACGGGGGCCCGCACAAGCAGAGGAACAUGUGGUUUAAUUCGAUGAUACGCGAGGAACCUUACCCGGGCUUGAACUGCAGGAGACGAUACAGAGAUGUUGAGGCCCUUCGGGGCUCCUGUGGAGGUGCUGCAUGGUUGUCGUCAGCUCGUGCCGUGAGGUGUCGGCUUAAUUGCAUAACGAGCGCAAACCCUUUCGUCAGUGGCAUCAGUGAUGCUGGGCACUCUGGCGAACUGCCACCGUACUGUAGAAAGAGAGGAUGAAGUCAAUCAACACGCCCUUACUUCCGGGGUUCCACACGUUAAUGGGCAUACAGAGACGUGCCGCGAGCGAUCAACUUAAUGUCUCAACUCCGAUUAGGUGUCACCGAACACUAACUGGAUCCUAGAUCCAACAUGCCCGUAGUUCGACUGACGCUCACCUACGGGCG
rnacentral:rRNA from 1 species